AUUGAACGCUGGCGGUAUGCUUAACACAUGCAAGUCGGACGGAAACGACAGGGAGCUUGCUCCUUGGGCGUCGAGUGGCGGAUGGGUGAGUAAUAUAUAGGAACCUUCCUCGUAGUUUAGGAUAACUGUCCGAAAGGAUGGCUAAUACUGAAUGUGAACUACGGUUUAAAGCAGGGGAUCUUCGGACCUUGUGCUAUGAGAUGGGCCUAUACAAGAUUAGCUAGUUGGUGAGGUAAAUGCUCACCAAGGCAACGAUCUUUAGCUGGUUUGAGAGGAUGAUCAGCCACACUGGGACUGAGACACGGCCCAGACUCCUACGGAAGCAGCAGUGGGGAAUAUUGGACAAUGGGGGCAACCCUGAUCCAGCAAUACCGCGUGUGUGAAGAAAGGCCCUAGGGUUGUAAAAGAACNCUUUUUGUUAGGAGAAUGGUAAAUUAGAGUUAAUACCUCUAGUUGCUGAUGUU
rnacentral:rRNA from 1 species